CCUCCGAAAUGUGAAAAAUUAUGGGGAAAAGUACCCAUCUAAGCCUCCCACCGUUAGGGAGUUUGGAAUACCUUUUCUAUACCAUA
rfam:Aedes flavivirus genomic RNA, complete genome, strain: Narita-21